rnacentral:rRNA from 1 species
CCUACGGGAGGCAGCAGUGAGGAAUAUUGGUCAAUGGUCGGGAGACUGAACCAGCCAAGCCGCGUGAGGGAUGAAGGUACAGAGUAUCGUAAACCUCUUUUGUCAGGGAACAAAGGCGGGGACGUGUCCCCGGAUGAGUGUACCUGGAGGAAAAGCAUCGGCUAACUCCGUGCCAGCAGCCGCGGUAAUACGGAGGAUGCGAGCGUUAUCCGGAUUUAUUGGGGUUAAAGGGUGCGCAGGCGGGAUGUUAAGUCAGCGGUAAAAGCCCGGGGCUCAACCCCGGCCCGCCGUUGAAACUGGGAGUCUUGAGUUGGAGAGAAGUAUGCGGAAUGCGCGGUGUAGCGGUGAAAUGCAUAGAUAUCGCGCAGAACUCCGAUUGCGAAGGCAGCAUGCCGGCUCCACACUGACGCUGAGGCACGAAAGCGUGGGUAUCGAACAGGAUUAGAUACCCGGGUAGUC